UACGUAGGGUGCAAGCGUUAAUCGGAAUUACUGGGCGUAAAGCGUGCGCAGGCGGUGAUGUAAGACAGUUGUGAAAUCCCCCGGGCUCAACCUGGGAACUGCAUCUGUGACUGCAUCGCUGGAGUACGGUAGAGGGGGAUGGAAUUCCGCGUGUAGCAGUGAAAUGCGUAGAUAUGCGGAGGAACACCGAUGGCGAAGGCAAUCCCCCUGGACCUGUACUGACGCUCAUGCACGAAAGCGUGGGGAGCAAACAGG
rnacentral:rRNA from 1 species